rnacentral:rRNA from 1 species
GUCGAGCGAAUGAAGUCCCUUCGGGAACGGAUUUAGCGGCGGACGGGUGAGUAACACGUGGGCAACCUGCCUCAUAGAGGGGAAUAGCCUUCCGAAAGAGAGAUUAAUACCGCAUAAGAUUGUAGUACCGCAUGGUACAGCAAUUAAAGGAGCAAUCCGCUAUGAGAUGGGCCCGCGGCGCAUUAGCUAGUUGGUGAGGUAACGGCUCACCAAGGCGACGAUGCGUAGCCGACCUGAGAGGGUGAUCGGCCACAUUGGGACUGAGACACGGCCCAGACUCCUACGGGAGGCAGCAGUGGGGAAUAUUGCACAAUGGGGGAAACCCUGAUGCAGCAACGCCGCGUGAGUGAUGACGGCCUUCGGGUUGUAAAGCUCUGUCUUCAGGGACGAUAAUGACGGUACCUGAGGAGGAAGCCACGGCUAACUACGUGCCAGCAGCCGCGGUAAUACGUAGGUGGCGAGCGUUGUCCGGAUUUACUGG